rnacentral:misc_RNA from 1 species
CGAUGUAGCGCGUCGUAAAUAGAGUACGCCCCAACGUUUAUAAACCCACUAGGUAAGAAUUAAUUAAUAGUGCAAGUCAAGAAUUUGAUUCUGAAGGACAAGCAUGCAUAGCUGUUUCCACCAGAUUAAUGAUGCUUAUGCUUAGGCCUGUCUGACAUUAUUCUUGGAGCUGUUGUCGAGAACAGCAUUUAAAAUGAUGUUUCUUUUUUUUUUUUCUAAAGUG